rnacentral:lncRNA from 10 species
GGUCGCUUCUCGCAGGCGGCGCGCUUGCUGGGUCACAGUGAGGCGGCUCCGCGCAGGCGCAGCCGGGCGGGCGAGGAGCGGGGAAGCUGACUCAGGGCUGCGGCCGGGGUCCUGCGGGGUAGGAGCGCGAGGCCGGCCUGAGGGAGGAGGCCUAGCGACCCAUCCGGCGCCUCCCGCCCCGGGCACCCGCCCGCGGCCGCGCAUCCUGCGGGCCCCAGGAGGCCUCCAUCUCAAAACAACGUGUUUUUAGGAUCUCAUCCACUAUCACAGUUUCAGCUUUCCCCAAACUGGAAUGUGUCUUUGCAGACGCCCAUCCUUAUUAAAGGGCAAAGACUUCUCAUACACCUAGGAUGGAUCUUAUAUUCUUGGCGGGACUGCAGAGAAGGUGCCGUGUCCUGAGUCCUCAUGUCAGGGCACAGGCUUCCAGCCAGUUCUACCUGGGUUAUGUUUAUCUCAAUUCCCUGGUGGUAUUGGUGUCUGCUGGGUUUUGCCAGAAUGAAGACACCGUGUUUUCAUUUGUCAGUUGAUUCGUAUUUUCCAGGAAGACAUUCUGAGAUUACAGCAUUGUCUUAGUCAAGGUGCUGCAGAAGGACAGAACUAAUAGGAUAUAUGUACAUAUGAAAGAAAGUUUAUGAAGAACUGGCUCACACCAUCACAAGGCAAAGUCCCAUGACAGGCCAUCUGCAAGCUGAGGAGCGAGGAAGCCAGCAGUGGCUCAGCCGGAGUCCAACAGCCUCAAACGGAAUCCAACAGUUCAGGCUUCAGUCUGUGGCCAAAUGCCCAGAGACCCCGGAAAGCUACUGGUGUUAGUCCCAGAGCCGGAAGGCCAAAGAACCUGGAGUGUGAUGUCCAAGGGCAGGAGGAAUGGACAGAAGCAUCCAGCAUGGGGUAAAGACGAAAGCCAGAAGACUCAGCAAGCUAGCUUACCUACUUUCUUCUGCCUGCCUUGUUCUAGCCGCGCUGGCAGCCGGUUGGAGGGUGCCCACCCCCACUGAGGGUGGAUCUUCCUCUCCUAGUCCACUGACUCAAAUUUCAGUCUCUCUGGGAGCACCAUCACACCAGAAACAAUACCAGCCAUCUAGCCACCCUUCAGUUCACCAUCACAACCAUUGUCUUAUUCAUGAAACUUCUGCAGACCCACCUUAACCUCCAUCGGUGACUUCUACCUGAAGCCCUCUGAUUGUUGCCCAGUGGUGCUUUUUAAAAUAAUUUCCAUAGUUUCUUCUACACCUUUAGUUGGCAUUCUACUGUAAAGGAGAGAUUUUAUUUUCUUACUCAUUUAUUUGUUAGUUUAUAGUCACCACCAUAUGGAUGCAGAGUUCUGUCUCAUUCACUGGGAAGUAUUCUAUUGCAGUCAUGAUUUAUUUUGAUGUUCACAUCCCAGAGUUGGUGAGUGAGCGCCCCUUCACGCUGGCUCCCGAGUGCUGACGUGUCCCCGUCCUUCUCUGCACUUUUCCUUACCUCCUGGCCUCAGAUAUUCCAGGGUCAUUUGUUCUCUCCCUGCUCCAACCCUGCAGUCAGCCAUCUCCCUAGGGACGUUGGUUCCUUUAUGGAAGGUGGCAUUUAGAAGCCAGGAUUUGGGCUGAGCACUGUGGCUCAUGCUUGUAAUCCCAGCACUUGGGGAGGCCGAAGUGGGCGGAUCGCUGGAGGCCAAGAGUCUGAGACCAGCCUGGCUAACAUGGUGAAACCCUUCCCCGUCUCUACUACAAAUAAAAAAUUAGCUGGGUGUGUUGGCACGUGCCUGUAAUCCCAGUUACUCAGGAGGCUGAAGCACCAGAAUCUCUUGAACCCAGGAGGCCGAGGUUGCAGUGAGCCAAGAUUGCACCACUGCACUACAGCUUGGGUGACAGCGCGAGACACCGUCUCAAAAAGGAUAAUAAUUUAAAAAACAGCAGGAUUUGGGUGAGCAGUGCGCUCAUUGCUUCUGGGCUCUCUCGGUGGACAUAGGCUAGGAAUGUAAGAUGUAUGUGCCUGUGUAUAUACACACGUCUGUAGCUAUGUCUAUGUUGCAUACAUGUGUUUUUCCAAAAACCAAAUCCAUAACCAUGCCUUCAGUUUCAGCCCAACACCUCCGGGCUCUUUCUAGCUUUCUACCUUUCAUGAUUGUGAAUACCUUCUCCAGCAGUGAGAAACCUGGCUCCUUUGUCCUCAGUGGAUUUUCUUAUUUGCUCAAUUUUUUUGUUUUUUGUUUUGUUUUUGUUUUUGAGACAGAGUCUUGUUCUGUCACCCAAGCUGGAGUGCAGUGGCAUAAUCUCGGCUUACCGCAACCUCUGCCUCCUGG